UCUCCCUGUCUCUCCAACUGAGGGGUUACUUCAGAGUCCUCUGUUUCAAGCUCAACUCCACCAGUGAGAAUGUUACUGCUGCAGGUUCUUAUUGUGACUUCAACAUGGUCUUGUGGAUAUUCGCAAAUAACUCUGAUACAAACUCCAUUGUCUGUCACCAGAGCGGUAACUGAAAGUGCAAAUAUGUGGUGUAAAAUUUCUGGUUUUAAUUUUAACAGUGCUUAUAUACACUGGUAUCGACAGAGCCCUGGGGCAGCUCCAAAGAGGAUUCUGUAUAUUGGAUCAGGAUCAGCUAUUAUGGAUGAAGGCUUUGAUAGCAAAAAGUUUGAAGCUGAGAAAAUUGGUUUUACAUCCACCUCUAAUCUCAGAGUACACCAACUAACCCAAGAGGAUACUGCUACCUAUUAUUGUGCCACCUGGGAUCGCACAGUACUAGAAAGCCAUAGACAGCCUGUACAAAAACCCACUCUGCACUCUGAGCCAAGUGUAUGAAACCAAACACAUCCCUUGUCCUUCCUCUCAAUUUGGAACCAACAGCACAAACUCUUGACUGGUGUCUGCAAUAUGACAGGAAGAAAAACAGCACAGAACUGAAGUUUUGAACUACAUUUUGUUACAAAUCAAAUCAGUUUAGAGCAUGUCAAAGUUGUUUUGACAGAUAGUUUAUUCUCCCUCAAAAAUGCAAUUUCAGUUUGACCAAAACUAUUUGCAAAUUUGGGUUGAAUUUACCAAUAGUUUCGCUGAAAAAAAUGAUUUUUUUUAAAGUUGAA